AACGAAUCCGCCGUGGGGCCACUGUA
rnacentral:piRNA from 1 species